ACAUACAAAAUUAUUUUAUAGAUGUAUCAAUAAAUAUUUUACUUUUUAGUUGGUGUCGAAAUAUAAACCGUAUACUAACUGGAAAAAUAACAAAUUCUGAUUUAGAUGAUCCAAUAAAAAAUAGUGCUCAAAUAUAUUAUAACACUCAUAAAAAUAAAAAGCAAUAGUUUAAAUCCAGUCGCUACUUAUGGCAAAAAUGAGAAAUUCUGUGAUCAUCCAAUCAAUAUUCCAUUGCAAAAUCAUUGGAUCCGAAGGCGCUGUGGACGUCGGAAACGCAUGAUUUGUGGCGAGUGCGGCGCUGUGAGACUGCAUGCGGCGUGGCGCAUCCGGACUUGCAGCUAAUCAGCGCAUGGUCAUGCUGGCCGUUCCCUGACAUAUUCCCUACAUGCCGGAAGAAGAUGCACGGCUUUCCGCAUCCUGAGAGACGGUCAGAGAUUUCUAGAAAAUGUGUGUCAGUCACUGGAAAAAACACACU